GGUUAAGCGACUAAGCGUACACGGUGGAUGCCCUGGCAGUCAGAGGCGAUGAAGGACGUGCUAAUCUGCGAAAAGCGUCGGUAAGGUGAUAUGAACCGUUAUAGCCGGCGAUGUCCGAAUGGGGAAACCCAGUGCAAUUCGUUGCACUAUCGUUAACUGAAUACAUAGGUUAACGAGGCGAACCGGGGGAACUGAAACAUCUAAGUACCCCGAGGAAAAGAAAUCAACCGAGAUUCCCCCAGUAGCGGCGAGCGAACGGGGAGCAGCCCAGAGUCUGAAUCAGCUUGUGUGUUAGUGGAACGGUCUGGAAAGUCCGACGGUACAGGGUGAUAGUCCCGUACACCAAAAUGCACAGGCUGUGAACUCGAAGAGUAGGGCGGGACACGUGGUAUCCUGUCUGAAUAUGGGGGGACCAUCCUCCAAGGCUAAAUACUCCUGACUGACCGAUAGUGAACCAGUACCGUGAGGGAAAGGCGAAAAGAACCCCGGCGAGGGGAGUGAAAAAGAACCUGAAACCGUGUACGUACAAGCAGUGGGAGCACCUUUAUGGUGUGACUGCGUACCUUUUGUAUAAUGGGUCAGCGACUUAUAUUCUGUAGCAAGGUUAACCGUAUAGGGGAGCCGCAGGGAAACCGAGUCUUAACUGGGCGUUAAGUUGCAGGGUAUAGACCCGAAACCCGGUGAUCUAGCCAUGGGCAGGUUGAAGGUUGGGUAACACUAACUGGAGGACCGAACCGACUAAUGUUGAAAAAUUAGCGGAUGACUUGUGGCUGGGGGUGAAAGGCCAAUCAAACCGGGAGAUAGCUGGUUCUCCCCGAAAGCUAUUUAGGUAGCGCCUCGUGAACUCAUCUUCGGGGGUAGAGCACUGUUUCGGCUAGGGGGUCAUCCCGACUUACCAACCCGAUGCAAACUACGAAUACCGAAGAAUGUUAUCACGGGAGACACACGGCGGGUGCUAACGUCCGUCGUGAAGAGGGAAACAACCCAGACCGCCAGCUAAGGUCCCAAAGUCAUGGUUAAGUGGGAAACGAUGUGGGAAGGCACAGACAGCCAGGAUGUUGGCUUAGAAGCAGCCAUCAUUUAAAGAAAGCGUAAUAGCUCACUGGUCGAGUCGGCCUGCGCGGAAGAUGUAACGGGGCUAAACCAUGCACCGAAGCUGCGGCAGCGACACGAUGUGUUGUUGGGUAGGGGAGCGUUCUGUAAGCCUGCGAAGGUGGCCUGUGAGGGUUGCUGGAGGUAUCAGAAGUGCGAAUGCUGACAUAAGUAACGAUAAAGCGGGUGAAAAGCCCGCUCGCCGGAAGACCAAGGGUUCCUGUCCAACGUUAAUCGGGGCAGGGUGAGUCGACCCCUAAGGCGAGGCCGAAAGGCGUAGUCGAUGGGAAACAGGUUAAUAUUCCUGUACUUGGUGUUACUGCGAAGGGGGGACGGAGAAGGCUAUGUUAGCCGGGCGACGGUUGUCCCGGUUUAAGCAUGUAGGCUGGUUAUCCAGGCAAAUCCGGAUAAUCAAGGCUGAGGUGUGAUGACGAGGCACUACGGUGCUGAAGUAACAAAUGCCCUGCUUCCAGGAAAAGCCUCUAAGCAUCAGGUAACACGAAAUCGUACCCCAAACCGACACAGGUGGUCAGGUAGAGAAUACCAAGGCGCUUGAGAGAACUCGGGUGAAGGAACUAGGCAAAAUGGUGCCGUAACUUCGGGAGAAGGCACGCUGGUGUGUAGGUGAAGCCCCUGCGGGUGGAGCUGAGACCAGUCGAAGAUACCAGCUGGCUGCAACUGUUUAUUAAAAACACAGCACUGUGCAAACACGAAAGUGGACGUAUACGGUGUGACGCCUGCCCGGUGCCGGAAGGUUAAUUGAUGGGGUUAUCCGUAAGGAGAAGCUCUUGAUCGAAGCCCCGGUAAACGGCGGCCGUAACUAUAACGGUCCUAAGGUAGCGAAAUUCCUUGUCGGGUAAGUUCCGACCUGCACGAAUGGCGUAAUGAUGGCCAGGCUGUCUCCACCCGAGACUCAGUGAAAUUGAACUCGCUGUGAAGAUGCAGUGUACCCGCGGCAAGACGGAAAGACCCCGUGAACCUUUACUAUAGCUUGACACUGAACAUUGAGCCUUGAUGUGUAGGAUAGGUGGGAGGCUUUGAAGCGUGGACGCCAGUCUGCGUGGAGCCAACCUUGAAAUACCACCCUUUAAUGUUUGAUGUUCUAACGUUGGCCCCUUAUCGGGGUUGCGGACAGUGUCUGGUGGGUAGUUUGACUGGGGCGGUCUCCUCCCAAAGCGUAACGGAGGAGCACGAAGGUUAGCUAAUCCUGGUCGGACAUCAGGAGGUUAGUGCAAUGGCAUAAGCUAGCUUGACUGCGAGCGUGACGGCGCGAGCAGGUGCGAAAGCAGGUCAUAGUGAUCCGGUGGUUCUGAAUGGAAGGGCCAUCGCUCAACGGAUAAAAGGUACUCCGGGGAUAACAGGCUGAUACCGCCCAAGAGUUCAUAUCGACGGCGGUGUUUGGCACCUCGAUGUCGGCUCAUCACAUCCUGGGGCUGAAGUAGGUCCCAAGGGUAUGGCUGUUCGCCAUUUAAAGUGGUACGCGAGCUGGGUUUAGAACGUCGUGAGACAGUUCGGUCCCUAUCUGCCGUGGGCGCUGGAGAAUUGAGGGGGGCUGCUCCUAGUACGAGAGGACCGGAGUGGACGCAUCACUGGUGUUCGGGUUGUCAUGCCAAUGGCACUGCCCGGUAGCUAAAUGCGGAAGAGAUAAGUGCUGAAAGCAUCUAAGCACGAAACUUGCCCCGAGAUGAGUUCUCCCUGAGACUUUAAGUCUCCUGAAGGAACGUUGAAGACGACGACGUUGAUAGGCCGGGUGUGUAAGCGCAGCGAUGCGUUGAGCUAACCGGUACUAAUGAACCGUGAGGCUUAACCUU
rnacentral:rRNA from 1 species